AACGCACGAGACCUGCGGACCUGCGGAGGGAUCAUUAACAAUUAUCCAAACACUCGUGUUUGAUCUAAGAAUAGGUUGAACUUUGUACAAUCGCAUGUACGUGUGUGCGUACGUGUUCAAUUCUAUUUUUAGAUCACUUUAAAACACAAACACAAACAUUAAACUUUUAGACAAACAUGGGAUUAAAAAGCAUAUAUUAUAUAUAUAUACCGAUAUUACUGUAUGUAAUAUGGAAUGUGA
rnacentral:misc_RNA from 1 species